rnacentral:rRNA from 1 species
ACGGAAGGCAGCAGUGGGGGAUAUUGGGCAAUGGGCGAAAGCCUGACCUAGCAACGCCGCGUGAAGGAAGAAAGUUUUCGGAUUGUAAACUUCUUUUAUCAGGGACGAAGAAAGUGACGGUACCUGAUGAAUAAGCCACGGCUAACUACGUGCCAGCAGCCGCGGUAAUACGUAGGUGGCAAGCGUUAUCCGGAUUUACUGGGUGUAAAGGGCGCGUAGGCGGGGAUGCAAGUCAGGUGUGAAAUCUAUGGGCUUAACCCAUAAACUGCAUUUGAAACUGUAUCUCUUGAGUGUCGGAGAGGUAGACGGAAUUCCUAGUGUAGCGGUGAAAUGCGUAGAUAUUAGGAGGAACACCAGUGGCGAAGGCGGUCUACUGGACGAUAACUGACGCUGAGGCGCGAAAGCGUGGGGAGCAAACAGGAUUAGAUACCCUGGUA